rnacentral:rRNA from 1 species
AGGGGCCUGCCCUAAUUACAUGCAAGUCGAGCGGACAGAUGGGAGCUUGCUCCCUGAUGUUAGCGGCGGACGGGUGAGUAACACGUGGGUAACCUGCCUGUAAGACUGGGAUAACUCCGGGAAACCGGGGCUAAUACCGGAUGCUUGUUUGAACCGCAUGGUUCAGACAUAAAAGGUGGCUUCGGCUACCACUUACAGAUGGACCCGCGGCGCAUUAGCUAGUUGGUGAGGUAACGGCUCACCAAGGCAACGAUGCGUAGCCGACCUGAGAGGGUGAUCGGCCACACUGGGACUGAGACACGGCCCAGACUCCUACGGGAGGCAGCAGUAGGGAAUCUUCCGCAAUGGACGAAAGUCUGACGGAGCAACGCCGCGUGAGUGAUGAAGGUUUUCGGAUCGUAAAGCUCUGUUGUUAGGGAAGAACAAGUGCCGUUCAAAUAGGGCGGCACCUUGACGGUACCUAACCAGAAAGCCACGGCUAACUACGUGCCAGCAGCCGCGGUAAUACGUAGGUGGCAAGCGUUGUCCGGAAUUAUUGGGCGUAAAGGGCUCGCAGGCGGUUUCUUAAGUCUGAUGUGAAAGCCCCCGGCUCAACCGGGGAGGGUCAUUGGAAACUGGGGAACUUGAGUGCAGAAGAGGAGAGUGGAAUUCCACGUGUAGCGGUGAAAUGCGUAGAGAUGUGGAGGAACACCAGUGGCGAAGGCGACUCUCUGGUCUGUAACUGACGCUGAGGAGCGAAAGCGUGGGGAGCGAACAGGAUUAGAUACCCUGGUAGUCCACGCCGUAAACGAUGAGUGCUAAGUGUUAGGGGGUUUCCGCCCCUUAGUGCUGCAGCUAACGCAUUAAGCACUCCGCCUGGGGAGUACGGUCGCAAGACUGAAACUCAAAGGAAUUGACGGGGGCCCGCACAAGCGGUGGAGCAUGUGGUUUAUUUCGAAGCAACGCGAAGACCUUACCAGGUCUUGACAUCCUCUGACAUCCUAGAGAUAGGACGUCCCCUUCGGGGCAGAGUGACAGGUGUUGCAUGUUGUCGUCAGCUCGUGUCGUGAAAUGUUGGGUUAGUCCCGCAACGAGCGCCACCCUUGAUCUUAGUGCCAGCAUUC